GAACGCUAGCGGCAGGCUUAACACAUGCAAGUCGAGGGGGUAGAAGGAGCUUGCUCCUUUGAGACCGGCGCACGGGUGCGUAACGCGUAUGCAAUCUACCUUUUGCAGAGGGAUAGCCCAGAGAAAUUUGGAUUAAUACCUCAUAGUAUGUGAGGAUGGCAUCAUUUUCACAUUAAAGUCACAACGGCAAAAGAUGAGCAUGCGUCCCAUUAGCUAGUUGGUAAGGUAACGGCUUACCAAGGCUACGAUGGGUAGGGGUCCUGAGAGGGAGAUCCCCCACACUGGUACUGAGACACGGACCAGACUCCUACGGGAGGCAGCAGUGAGGAAUAUUGGACAAUGGGCGCAAGCCUGAUCCAGCCAUGCCGCGUGCAGGAUGACGGUCCUAUGGAUUGUAAACUGCUUUUGUACAGGAAGAAACACUACUUCGUGAAGUAGCUUGACGGUACUGUAAGAAUAAGGAUCGGCUAACUCCGUG
rnacentral:rRNA from 1 species